GCCGGGGUGGCGGAACUGGCAGACGCACAGGACUUAAAAUCCUGCGGUGAGUGAUCACCGUCCCGGUUCGAUUCCGGUCCUCGGCACCA
rnacentral:tRNA from 1 species